UACGGACAGUGCCUGGUGGGUAGUUUGACUGGGGCGGUCUCCUCCCAAAGAGUAACGGAGGAGCACGAAGGUGGGCUAAACACGGUUGGACAUCGUGUGGUUAGUGCAAUGGCAUAAGCCCGCUUGACUGCGAGAAUGACAAUUCGAGCAGGUGCGAAAGCAGGUCAUAGUGAUCCGGUGGUUCUGAAUGGAAGGGCCAUCGCUCAACGGAUAAAAGGUACUCCGGGGAUAACAGGCUGAUACCGCCCAAGAGUUCAUAUCGACGGCGGUGUUUGGCACCUCGAUGUCGGCUCAUCACAUCCUGGGGCUGAAGUCGGUCCCAAGGGUAUGGCUGUUCGCCAUUUAAAGUGGUACGCGAGCUGGGUUUAGAACGUCGUGAGACAGUUCGGUCCCUAUCUGCCGUGGGCGUUGGAAAAUUGAAAGGGGCUGCUCCUAGUACGAGAGGACCGGAGUGGACGAACCUCUGGUGUUCGGGUUGUCAUGCCAAUGGCAUUGCCCGGUAGCUAAGUUCGGAAUCGAUAACCGCUGAAAGCAUCUAAGCGGGAAGCGAGCCUUGAGAUGAGUUUUCCCUGACGCUAUAAGCGUCCUAAAGGGUUGUCGUAGACUACGACGUUGAUAGGCAGGGUGUGUAAGUGCUGCGAGGCAUUGAGCUAACCUGUACUAAUUGCCCGUGAGGCUUAACCAUACAACACCCAAGGGGUUU
rnacentral:rRNA from 1 species